UUUCCGUAGGUGAACCUGCGAAAGGAAUCAUUA
rnacentral:rRNA from 1 species